rnacentral:rRNA from 1 species
AUUGCCCUAGUAACGGCGAGUGAAGCGGCAACAGCUCAAAUUUGAAAUCUGGCCUCGGCCCGAGUUGUAAUUUGCAGAGGAAGCUUUAGGCGCGGCACCUUCUGAGUCCCCUGGAACGGGGCGCCAUAGAGGGUGAGAGCCCCGUAUAGUUGGAUGCCUAGCCUGUGUAAAGCUCCUUCGACGAGUCGAGUAGUUUGGGAAUGCUGCUCAAAAUGGGAGGUAAAUUUCUUCUAAAGCUAAAUACCGGCCAGAGACCGAUAGCGCACAAGUAGAGUGAUCGAAAGAUGAAAAGCACUUUGAAAAGAGGGUUAAAUAGCACGUGAAAUUGUUGAAAGGGAAGCGCUUGUGACCAGACUUGCGCCGGGCAGAUCAUCCGGUGUUCUCACCGGUGCACUCUGCCCGGCUCAGGCCAGCAUCGGUUCUCGCGGGGGGAUAAAGGCCCCGGGAACGUAGCUCCUCCGGGAGUGUUAUAGCCCGGGGCGUAAUGCCCUCGCGGGGACCGAGGUUCGCGCAUCUGCAAGGAUGCUGGCGUAAUGGUCAUCAGCGACCCGUCUUGAAACACGGACCAAGGAGUCAAGGUUUUGCGCGAGUGUUUGGGUGUAAAACCCGCACGCGUAAUGAAAGUGAACGUAGGUGAGAGCUUCGGCGCAUCAUCGACCGAUCCUGAUGUUUUCGGAUGGAUUUGAGUAGGAGCGUUAAGCCUUGGACCCGAAAGAUGGUGAACUAUGCUUGGAUAGGGUGAAGCCAGAGGAAACUCUGGUGGAGGCUCGCAGCGGUUCUGACGUGCAAAUCGAUCGUCAAAUCUGAGCAUGGGGCGAAAGACUAAUCGA